AUUGAACGCUGGCGGCAGGCCUAACACAUGCAAGUCGAGCGGCAGCGGGAAAGUAGCUUGCUACUUUUGCCGGCGAGCGGCGGACGGGUGAGUAAUGCCUGGGAAAUUGCCCAGUCGAGGGGGAUAACAGUUGGAAACGACUGCUAAUACCGCAUACGCCCUACGGGGGAAAGCAGGGGACCUUCGGGCCUUGCGCGAUUGGAUAUGCCCAGGUGGGAUUAGCUAGUUGGUGAGGUAAUGGCUGACCAAGGCGACGAUCCCUAGCUGGUCUGGGAGGAUGAUCAGCCACACUGGAACGGAGACACGGUCCAGGCUCCUACGGGAGGCAGCAGUGGGGAAUAUUGCACAAUGGGGGAAACCCUGAUGCAGCCAUGCCGCGUGUGUGAAGAAGGCCUUCGGGUUGUAAAGCACCUUCAGCGAGGAGGAAAGGUCAGUAGCUAAUAUCUGCUGGCUGUGACGUUACUCGCAGAAGAAGCACCGGCUAACUCCGUGCCAGCAGCCGCGGUAACAC
rnacentral:rRNA from 1 species